rnacentral:rRNA from 1 species
CAAUAGCGUAUAUUAAAGUUGUUGCAGUUAAAAAGCUCGUAGUUGGAUUUCGGGACGGGCCAGUUGGUCCGCCGCAAGGUGUGUUACUGACUGGUCUGUUCUUCUUCGCAAAGACUGCGUGUGCUCUUCGUUGAGUGUGCGUAGGAUUUACGACGUUUACUUUGAAAAAAUUAGAGUGUUCAAAGCAGGCUAUCGCUUGAAUACAUGAGCAUGGAAUAAUGGAAUAGGACUUUGGUCCUAUUUUGUUGGUUUCUAGGACCGAAGUGAUGAUUAAGAGGGACAAUUGGGGGCAUCCGUAUUUCGUUGUCAGAGGUGAAAUUCUUGGAUUUACGAAAGACGAACAACUGCGAAAGCACUUGCCAAGAGUGUUUUCAUUAA